rnacentral:rRNA from 1 species
GAUGAACGCUGGCGGCGUGCCUAAUACAUGCAAGUCGAGCGAAAGGACGCGGAGUUUGUCUCUUUGUUGUUAGCGGAGGACGGGUGAGUAACACGUGGAUAACCUACCUAUAAGACUGGGAUCACUUCGGGAAACCGUAGCUUACACCGGAUAAUAUUUUGAACCGCAUGGUUCAAAAGUGAAAGUCGGUCUUGCUGUCUCUUCUCGAUGGUUCUGCGCUGCAUUAGCUAGUUGGUAAGGUAACGGCUUAUCAAGGCAACGAUGCAUAGCCGACCUGAGAGGGGGAUCGGCCACACGGGAACGGAGACGCGGACCUGACGCCUGCGAGAGGCAGCAGUAGGGAAUCUUCCGCAAUAGGCGAGAGCCUGACAGAACGGCGCCACGUGAGAGGUAGAGGUCUUCGGUUCGGAAAACUCGGUUAUUGGUGGAGAACAUAUUUGUAAGGAACUGUGCACAGCGUGACGGUACCGAAUCAGAAAGCCACGGCUAACUACGUG